GUGGGGAAUUUUGGACAAUGGGCGAAAGCCUGAUCCAGCCAUGCCGCGUGCAGGAUGAAGGCCUUCGGGUUGUAAACUGCUUUUGUACGGAACGAAAAGACUCCUUCUAAUAAAGGGGGUCCAUGACGGUACCGUAAGAAUAAGCACCGGCUAACUACGUGCCAGCAGCCGCGGUAAUACGUAGGGUGCAAGCGUUAAUCGGAAUUACUGGGCGUAAAGCGUGCGCAGGCGGUUAUAUAAGACAGAUGUGAAAUCCCCGGGCUCAACCUGGGAACUGCAUUUGUGACUGUAUAGCUAGAGUACGGUAGAGGGAGAUGGAAUUCCGCGUGUAGCAGUGAAAUGCGUAGAUAUGCGGAGGAACACCGAUGGCGAAGGCAAUCCCCUGGACCUGUACUGACGCUCAUGCACGAAAGCGUGGGGAGCAAACAGGAUUAGAUACCCUAGUAGUCC
rnacentral:rRNA from 1 species